rnacentral:lncRNA from 1 species
GGUUGAUGGUUGAAGAUGGCGGUCGAAGUUCGAAAUUUUUAGAUUUUGAUUUUGCUUUCAUUGAAUAAUAUUUCUCAUUUCAUGAGAAUUUGAUUUUCUUUUUAUGCUUUCAUUUAUUUGUUUUUUAUCAAUAACUAUGUUUACUUUUCGUUUGAUUUUGAAUAAUCACGUUUGAUAUUUUUUCUUUUUUUUUGAAUCAAUUUACUUAUGUUUUGGUUACAAAAUAGGUACAAAUCAGGUGUUUUAAAACCGAAGAACCAAUUGUACUUAUGUUUUGGUUACAAAAUAAGUACAAAAUCAUGUACUUUUAAACCAAAAAAUCGAUUGGGACCCGAACCCGAAAAUACAUCGGAGUACUAGUUCUAUGAAGAUUUAAUAACCUGAUCUGAACCCGAUAGAAUCCGAACCAGUUCCGAACCAAACUUUCUUAUAACCCGAAUGAGAU